CAGCGCCACAAGUGGGGGCCAUGAUUAUUGGGCCUAAAGCGUUCGUAGCUGGUCUGAUAAAUCUUUUGUUAAAUUGUUGUGCCUAACAUAACGAAUUGCAGGAGACACUAUUAGACUUGGAACCGGGAGGGGUUAGAGGUAUGCACAGGGGAGCGGUAAAAUGCAGUAAUCCUGUGUAGACCACCUGUGGCGAAGGCGUCUAACCAGAACGGGUUCGACAGUGAGGGACGAAAGCCAGGGGAGCGAUCCGGAUUAGAUACCCGAGUAGUCC
rnacentral:rRNA from 1 species